rnacentral:rRNA from 1 species
UACGGGGGGAGCAAGCGUUAUCCGGAUUUACUGGGCGUAAAGGGCGCGUAGGCGGCGCAACAAGUCACUUGUGAAAUCUCCGGGCUUAACCCGGAGCGGCCAAGUGAUACUGUCGUGCUAGAGUGCGGAAGGGGCUACUGGAAUUCUCGGUGUAGCGGUGAAAUGCGUAGAUAUCGAGAGGAACACCUGCGGCGAAGGCGGGUUGCUGGGCUGAUACUGACGCUGAAGCGCGAAAGCUAGGGGAGCGAACGGG